rnacentral:rRNA from 1 species
GAUUCCCUCAGUAGCGGCGAGCGAAGCGGGAAUAGACCGAGAUGAAAAUCCCUUCGGGGAGUUGUAAUCUGAGCAAUGUUGAGGGUUCAGUGAAUGUAAGUCACAUGAAAUUGUGUACCGUGGAGGGUGAGAGUCCCGUCCAGCAUUCACAGGAACUUCUCGUACGACAUUGUCUCAACCGAGUCGGGUAGCUUGAGAACGCUGCUCUAAUAGGUGGUAAACUUCAUCUAAGUCUAAAUACAUGUGGGAGACCGAUAGCGAACAAGUACCGUGAGGGAAAGAUGGAAAGCACUUUGAAAAGAGGGUGAAAAGUACCUGAAACCGCCAGGGGGGAAGCGAAUUGCAUCAGUGCAGAUUAGUGGUGUUCAGCAGAUCUUGAAAUUUUUUGGGUUUUGUGUACUCAUUACUAAGCUAUGUCGUGAUGGCUGUUGAGUUAUGGAUUAUGCAUGAUUUGAUGGUGAGGGCUCCCUUUCUUAGGUGAGGAUCUCGACAAAAUGAUGCGACUCGACCCGUCUUGAAACACGGACCAAGGAGUUUAGCACUACUGCGAGUCGAAGGGUGUGGAAACCUAGAGGCGAAGUGAAAGCGAAUAUUAUAUUGAAAUCUGUUCAGAUUGAGGAGGUGUUGAGUCUUUGACGAAAUAUCCUACCUGGAGCAGUAGUGCUGAGACCCGAAAGAUGGUGAACUAUGCUGGAGUAGGGCAAAGCCAGAGGAAACUCUGGUGGAGGCUCGUAGCGAUGCUGACGUGCAAAUCGCUCGUCGAACUUGAGUAUAGGGGCGAAAGACUAAUCGAACCAUCUAGUAGCUGGUUCCCUCCGAAGUUUCUCUCAGGAUAGCGGGCCGACGAUGUGGGGUUGUUUUGUGUGGUAAAGCGAAUGAUUAGCGUAUUUGGGGAUGUAAUGUCUUCGGUCGAUUCUCAAACUUUAAAUACGCAAGAAAGAAAAGGAUGCUUGGUUGAUCCAUUCUUUAUGAAAACGUCGGCCCUGUGGGCCACUUUUGGUAAGCAGAACUGGCGAUAUGGGAUGAACCAUAAGUUUGGUUAAGGCGUCAAAAUCUCCGCUUAAAGAUCCCACAAAAGGUGUUGGUUCAUAUAGACAGCAGGACGGUGGCCAUGAAGUCGAAUCCGAGUCGGAAUCCGCUAAGGAGUGUGUAACAACUCACCUGCCGAAUGAACUAGCCCUGAAAAUGGAUGACGCUUAAGCGGAGUGCCGACACCAGACCGUUUUGGUAAGAAGUGACCAAAAUGAGUAGGAGGGCGUGGUGAUUUUGUUCAGAAGGGUGAGACGUAAGUCUACCUGAAACGGUCGCUAGUGCAGAUCUUGGUGGUAGUAGCAAAUAUUUAAGCGAGAUCCUUAAAGGGCGAAGCGGGGAAGGGUUCCACGCGAACAUUGAUUGGGCGUGGGUGAGUCGUUCCUAAGCCGGGUGGUAAUCGUUCUUACGAUCGGCGAAAGGGAAGUUGGUUAAAAUUCCAACACACGGAUGUGGAGGCGGCGACGCAAAUUGAGGUGGAGACGCUAACGGUGACACUGGGCAGAGUUUUCUUUUCUGUUUAACCUGUGCUGCACUCUGUGGAAUCCGAUUAUCGGGAGAAACAGGUGCCUUGUGGGAAGAGCGUCGGGGGGUCCCCGGCGUCCAGUACGUCACCGAUAGCCCUUGAAAAUCCAUCUGCAAUCUAAUUUCACGCCGUGGCGUACCGAUAACCGCAGCAGGUCCCCAAGGUGAACAGCCUCUGCUCAAUAUGAACAAUGCAGGUAAGGGAAGUCGGCAAAAUAGACCCGUAACUUUGGGAAAAGGGUUGGCUCUAGUGGGGCGAAGGAAAAACCUGGGCUGUAGCGAUUUGGGGUUGGUGGUCUGAUAAAGUUAAGUUGUGGUUUUAAAUGACUUUGGCUUUGACGGAUCCCUUCUCUGAGUUGUUAUGGUUCGACCUUCAACAUGCUCCAAACUAGAACUGCAACGGGCAAAGGGAAUCCGACUGUUUAAUUAAAACAAAGCAUUGCGAUGGCCGAGGUCGGUGUAGACGCAAUGUGAUUUGCAACCGGCCAAGGGAAUCCGACUGUUUAAUUAAAACAAAGCAUUGCGAUGGCCGAGGUCGGUGUAGACGCAAUGUGAUUUCUGCUCAGUGCUCUGAAUGUCAAAGUGAAGAGAUUCAAACAAGCGCGGGUAAACAGCGGGAGUAACUAUGACUCUCUUAAGGUAGCCAAAUGCCUCGUCAUCUAAUUAGUGACGCGCAUGAAUGGAUUAACGAGAUUCCUACUGUCCCUAUCUGCUUCUAGCGAAACCACAGCCGAGGGAACGGGCUCGGCAAAAUCGGCGGGGAAAGAAGACCCUGUUGAGCUUGACUCUAUUCUAAUUUUGUGACGCAAGUUAGGAGGUGUAGCAUAGGUGGGAGACUUUUGUCGCCAAUGAAAUACCACUACUCUUAAUCUUGUUUUACUUAUGGCGUUAGACUGCACGACCUUUAUGGUCUAUUUUGGCAUCAACUUGGAAAAUGUUAUAUGCUCCGCACUACCUUGUGUGUGCGGAGUAAUAUCCCCUUGGAGCAGCGCGCCUGACAUAUUUAGGAGGGGAGUUUGGCUGGGGCGGCACAUCUUCUACAAGACAACGAAGGUGUCCAAAGAUAAGCUCAGUGAGAACAGAAAUCUCACGUAGCGCAAAAGGGUAAAAGCUUGUUUGAUUUUGAUUUUCAGUGUGAGUUAAAAAUACGAAAGUAUGGCCUAUCGAUCCUUUCAUAUUUCGAGGUUUGAAGCGAGA